rnacentral:rRNA from 1 species
UCAGGCCUAACACAUGCAAGUCGAACGGUAACGCGGGGCAACCUGGCGACGAGUGGCGAACGGGUGAGUAAAGCAUCGGAACGUGCCCAAUCGUGGGGGAUAACGUAGAGAAAUUUACGCUAAUACCGCAUGAGAUCUAAGGAUGAAAGCAGGGGAUCGCAAGACCUUGCGCGAUUGGAGCGGCUGAUGUCAGAUUAGGUAGUUGGUGGGGUAAAGGCCUACCAAGCCGACGAUCUGUAGCUGGUUUGAGAGAACGACCAGCCACACUGGGACUGAGACACGGCCCAGACUCCUACGGGAGGCAGCAGUGGGGAAUUUUGGACAAUGGGCGAAAGCCUGAUCCAGCAAUGCCGCGUGCAGGAAGAAGGCCUUCGGGUUGUAAACUGCUUUUGUACGGAACGAAACGGUCUGGGUUAACACCCGGGCUAAUGAC